UACGGGGGGGGCGAGCGUUGUUCGGAAUUACUGGGCGUAAAGGGCUCGUAGGCGGCCAACUAAGUCAGACGUGAAAUCCCUCGGCUUAACCGGGGAACUGCGUCUGAUACUGGUUGGCUUGAGUUUGGGAGAGGGAUGCGGAAUUCCAGGUGUAGCGGUGAAAUGCGUAGAUAUCUGGAGGAACACCGGUGGCGAAGGCGGCAUCCUGGACCAACACUGACGCUGAGGAGCGAAAGCGUGGGGAGCGAACAGG
rnacentral:rRNA from 1 species